UUCAAGGACAAGUCCCAGGCCCUAAUGGA
rnacentral:piRNA from 1 species